GUGAGCUCGCCAUCGCUGAAAGGGUUGUUAAAUACAAGCUUUCAGUCACAGGAGAGAUGACCCGUAAUUGGUUCAGAGGCUGUAUCUCGGACAGAUUUUGAUCAUUCAAAACGAAAAUUGGUAUGCUUCAUCAGAACCAUGAUCUGAGGGUCCAUGCCAAAUUUGGGAACAGCGCCACCUACAGGUCAUGAGAUCUGUGAAAUUGAUAAUUUUGCUUAUAACUUUUGAACAGGUUGUCAGAAAAUCAUAUCUGAAUUUUCAUUUUUUAUCAGAUUGACUAAAAAUUUACUCAUAUUGACGCAAAUGAAAAAGUUUUUUUUUGUUACUCUUCCCACAAUUUUGGUCCAAUUUUGUCCAAAAUCAGAUCAGAUGGUCUUUAGAACGGGCCGCAAAGAAAUCAUUUAACGUAUUUUUGAUAUUCACUACCGUUCCCAAAAAAUACCUCUCUGAAGUAGACCAUGCCUGUGUUUGUCCUCUCAGCAGCCUGGGGAACCUGAAUGAGUGACUAGCUCAGUGUGUUAUACUGUGGAUCCUGAAUACUUCAUGUUGUGGAUUCAAAACCCAGUGUGACACAUGACUGGACCGCAAGAUGUACUGUGGUGCAAAAGUUGUAUCUGUUCCAUGUCUUUCUGAGAAUGAUCUAAUGUGAACUUAUUAAAUAUAACACGCAGUGCACUUGUAUAUAAAAUCUUUAUUUUGGUUGAUUCUGAACUAUAACUUCGGCAUCUCUGUGAGCAUCUGAGUUAUAAGUGGCUUUUUGAUGAAGUUAAAUAUUUAGAACGUGUUUAAACACAUGAACUCUGCAAUGUUCAAAAGUUUCCUAAUAAAAUUGUCAAUGACUCCAAAAACAGCCAUAAGGGUUUGGUCCCGGUAAUUGCAGCAAGCAGCUUUAUUUUCAAUUUCUUAUUAUAAUCAUAAACACACUGGUUUGUAAUGCAAAUAGUUUACCGAAUGGUAUAGUCUUUACAGUACUGUUCUACUUCUGUAAUUUUAAUACACUCAUCACGAUGUGAUAACCAGAGGAGAACGCCUAGGGUUCCUAAAGAUUGGGAUGGAUACUAAUGGUUAUGUUACAGUGAAAAAAAAAUCAGAAGAAAUUCCACUUUUCCCCAAAUUUUCAAAGCAAAAUGCAUUCAGUGAGUGUUUAAGGGCCGUGCACGGAAUGCAGUUUUGGAACGUCGUGUUUUUGCAUUUCACUG
ensembl:lncRNA